UCAAGUGACAAAGCCAAAGUAAUGCAAAUACGGAAAAUGUUAUGUGCUGGACAACCCCAACUGACCUUCUGGAAACUGGUCUUUAAACUUCAUGGAACGAUUUCAACAGAGUAACCCAAUAGUGUCAGACUUUGAUAUAUUUUGCUGACUCCUCGAACACUAAUUUUUCAGUGACCUUGGCUAAAUGAAUCAGUCCUCAGAGUCUUCAUCAGCAAAGCAGGAACAACUGUGGAAAUCCAAUGAAAUCCUCAGGCAUACCUAUCUGCAUAUGUGUGUAUACCUCGCCUCCAAAGCAUUGGUGUGUAUAUGUGUGUGUGGAAAAUAAAUCUAGAAAUUGU